rnacentral:rRNA from 1 species
AAUGAACGCUGGCGGCAGGCCUAACACAUGCAAGUCGAGCGAGCAUUUCGGUGCUAGCGGCGGACGGGUGAGUAACGCGUGGGAACGUGCCCUUUUCUGCGGAAUAGUCCUGGGAAACUGGGGGUAAUACCGCAUACGCCCUUUUGGGGAAAGAUUUAUCGGAGAAGGAUCGGCCCGCGUUGGAUUAGGUAGUUGGUGGGGUAAUGGCCCACCAAGCCGACGAUCCAUAGCUGGUUUGAGAGGAUGAUCAGCCACACUGGGACUGAGACACGGCCCAGACUCCUACGGGAGGCAGCAGUGGGGAAUCUUAGACAAUGGGGGCAACCCUGAUCUAGACAUGCCGCGUGAGUGAUGAAGGCCUUAGGGUUGUAAAGCUCUUUCAGCUGGGAAGAUAAUGACGGUACCAGCAGAAGAAGCCCCGGCUAACUCCGUG